GUGGUGGAAUAAAGUAAAGUGAAUAAAGCUGCACACGCAAAUGGAUGUUGCGAUGGCCGAAAGACGGAAAUCAUCUACUCCACUUUUCUCCAGUCCACCCCCUCCACUCAACUCCCAUACAAUCUAAUCAAUCAAAUCCCCAUUCCAAUUCCCAUUCAUCUCCAAGUGAGAAAUUUUCAAACAAGCCGGUGGGCACGUGACCGUAACUUUGACAUGCUUCGAUGAGCAGUGGGACAGGGGAUAGGGCAGAGAGAUUAACUAAAUAUGGCAAUCAUGCAAUCGCAUUUUUCUGAUGAAGGUUGUCAGAUUGCUGGAUUGUCAGACUCCCUUUGGGCAUAGUCACUAGACAUGAUGGAGGAGGGAUGGAAUGGAUGGAGGUCAACAGAGAAGCUGAUGGAACACGAUACCCGGUCAUUUGAGCGAGCCUGCUAGUAUGUAUAUCACUAUCAGCAUACAUGAAUAAAGCACAUCUAUUAUA